ensembl:snoRNA small nucleolar RNA SNORD67
UGCGAGAGUGAUGAGUUGCACGCUGGUGGAGUUGCCAUGUCGGGUGACAUGGAAACCACUCAGAAUGUCCUUGAUGACAAAGCUAAGUGCACAGGGGCCAUCUGACUCGCU